CUACGUGCCAGCAGCCGCGGUAAUACGUAUGUCGCAAGCGUUAUCCGGAAUUAUUGGGCAUAAAGGGCAUCUAGGCGGCCAGAUAAGUCUGGGGUGAAAACUUGCGGCUCAACCGCAAGCCUGCCCUGGAAACUAUGUGGCUAGAGUACUGGAGAGGUGGACGGAACUGCACGAGUAGAGGUGAAAUUCGUAGAUAUGUGCAGGAAUGCCGAUGAUGAAGAUAGUUCACUGGACGGUAACUGACGCUGAAGUGCGAAAGCUAGGGGAGCAAACAGGAUUAGAUACCCUGGUAGUCCUAGCUGUAAACGAUGAUUACUGGGUGUGGGCAUGAAGAGUGUCCGUGCCGAAGCUAAUGCGGUAAGUAAUCCGCCUGGGGAGUACGGCCGCAAGGCUGAAACUCAAAGGAAUUGACGGGGACCCGCACAAGCGGUGGAGCAUGUGGUUUAAUUCGACGCAACGCGAGGAACCUUACCAGAUCUUGACAUCCUG
rnacentral:rRNA from 1 species